rnacentral:lncRNA from 1 species
CAGUGGUCUGCGGCCGCGAAGACGCUUUGGAAAAUAUGGGCGUGACUAGCAAGUUCUUUAGUUUCUCUAAAGCCUAGGAGCCGGCAGGCGGGUCAGCUUAGCACCGCGGAGCCUUCCUGCAACAGCCAAAAAUAAAACCCCAACAAACUCAACGCCCCCCGCCCCGCCCCCUCGGCGUUGGCCCGCGGGCCGCUCGGGGCGGGGGCGCGGCUCCGGGCGCUCGGCUCCAGACAGACUUCCGGGACACAGGCGGCUUUUCUUCUCCAAAAUCCACAGACUCCCUUGGUGCGCUUUGUUUUUACAGUGGAAAGCUACAAUAAAAAAACCUAGCCGUGAACAUAAGUGCGAUUAGAAGCGGCCGGCUUCACUUCCUGGAAGCUUUUUGUUGGGUGUUGAAACUGGGAAGCUUUGCGGGUCAUCCUUAAAGUCAUCUUGAUUGCACUGAUCAGAAACUGACUCUCUACGUUUCCUGAAGACAGGUGCUACAGAGUGUCCCGGCUCCCUCUAUUCUGCACUUCUGUAUAUGCAGCAAAACAUCGGGACCGGGGCGGGGCCGGGGGGGGGGGGGGGGGCACAUGGUCUUGCGAGUUAAACAAACCUGCUUUGGAUUCCUGCUGGUUACUUGCUGUGCAAUGUUAGGCGACUUAUCUACUGUCCUUGAGCUUGUUUCCUUAAAAACAGAUAUAAUAAAACUACCUCCUGGGUCAUUGAAUCACAUGUGAAAGCAUCUUGAACAGUAGCUAGUCCCCAGUAACCACCUAAAAUAUUAGUUUCCCUUGCCCUUGGGAUUUCAGUUACUAGUGUGGGUACUUGAGAGCAUUCUUAUUAGAUCUUUUUACUUGUCUAAAAAUCCUACUUUAGUAGAAUCCAGACUUUGGUAUGCAGGAGACUUACCUGGAUUCUUGCUUAAAAUGCUAGUUUCUGGGGCCCUCACCCAGGAUUUUGAUUCAGGAAGUCCAAAAUGGGGCCCUGGGGUUUGACAUUUUAGCGUUUAAUUCUGGGGCACGAGUUCUCAGACCUCCCCCUGACAGUCCCUGUU